rnacentral:tRNA from 1 species
GGGUAUAUAGCUUAGUGGUAGAGCACAUGCUUAGCAUGCAUGAGGUCCUGGGUUCAAUCCCCAGUACCUCCU